GAUGAAGAACGCAGCGAAAUGCGAUAAGUAGUUUGAAUUGCAGAAUUCAGUGAAUCAUCGAAUCUUUGAACGCACAUUGCGCCCCUUGGUAUUCCAUGGGGCAUGCCUGUUCGAGCGUCAUUUGUACCUUCAAGCUCUGCUUGGUGUUGGGUGUUUGUCUCGCCUCUGCGUGUAGACUCGCCUCAAAACAAUUGGCAGCCGGCGUAUUGAUUUCGGAGCGCAGUACAUCUCGCGCUUUGCACUCAUAACGACGACGUCCAAAAGUACAUUUUUACACUCUUGACCUCGGAUCAGGUAGGGAUACCCGCUGAACUUAAGCAUAUCAAUAAGCGGAGGA
rnacentral:misc_RNA from 1 species